UGAUUUACAUGCCUUCCUUGGCUCUCUAAAGGGACAGAUAUAAAAGUAAGGAAAGCAGGUAUAUUGAAUAAUCUUUCUCUAAUAUUAACUUUUGGUUUUCAACCAAGGACUCUAAGUUCUUAGGAUUUCUGAUGUUCAGGUUGCAAAUGUUAAUGUUUCCGAAACCAAAACUGAUAUCCAGUAGAAGAAAAGUCUAAGGAGGUUUAUGACAACUCCAACUUCUAUAGAAAUGGGGAUAUUUUAACAAAAAUAAAGCAAUUCAAGUACAAGGGCUCAAAACAGUCCUAUAGAAUAAAAAUUUGUUCAAUGGCCAUGAAAUGAUCAGUGGCUGUUUGAGCAAAAAGAAACUAGAAUCUUAAAAAAGAAGCAUUUCACACUGCAACGUUUUAAAGCAAACUUCACUUGUUUUGCCCUACUCUGAUUUCUACUUCUUUUAUGAUUAUGAUUGGAAUAGGAAAAAAAUGAAAGCAUUUAUGAUAAAAUGCUUGUCUUCAGAUUGUCUACACUUAAACCAUUAUCAGUGGAAAUAAAAACCAUCAGAAUCUUACAUGAGCUUUGGGGCCAUCUGGAGACUGAAAACACAGAUAUCCUAUACUGAACUUAUACAAUAUAACCAGAAGUUAAGUUCAGAACACUGUGCUCUGCUGGUGCAUGGAACAAUAUUUCAAAGUGACGGCCAAAUACUGAGCAUCCCCAUUCAACAUAUGAACUAUAGCAAAUUAGUGACUAUUGACAAGUAUAAAAUAUAAGAUAGGGGUUUUUUCCCAUAGUUUUGAUUGUUUUCAUCUGUUUUCAUCUUCUACUGUAUGUUUGUGCCUGCUACUUGACUACAGCAUCCUGAUCUCUACAAAGUCUAUGAAUCCCAAGGACCUGUUACUUAAUUCUAAGACUCUUUUCUUGAGACUCAUGAUUUUUGUUGCUUAUUCAGUGUUAGAUCUGAAUCCCUAUAUGUACAGUCUAGCUUUCCUUUCCUAAUUUAUCAAAUUUUCCUUCUAGCACAUUUUUUCUUUUCUUUCCAAACCAAUAAAGUAUUAAAACAUAAUUAUGUAC